UGAUAGCGUAGAAGCGUGAGGUUGCUGCCGAUAUGGCAGGUUUUCCGUGGAGCGAAUGUCAAGUUAGGAAACUGGCGACAA
rfam:Roseburia intestinalis XB6B4 draft genome.